rnacentral:rRNA from 1 species
GAUGAACGCUGGCGGCGUGCCUAAUACAUGCAAGUAGAACGCACAGACGAGGAGCUUGCUCUUCUGGCGUUAGCGGCGGACGGGUGAGUAACGCGUGGAUAACCUACCUUUUAGCGUGGGAUAACUAUUGGAAACGGGAGCUAAUACCGCAUAAUAUAUUGAACCGCAUGGUUCAUUUGUGAAAGACGGUUUUGCUGUACCUUAAGGAUGACUCCGCGUGGAUUUGGCUAGAGGGUAAGGAAACGGCCUACCAAGGCAAGUAUGCGUAGCCGACUGGGGAGGGGGAUCGCCCACACUGGAACGGAGACACGGUCCAGACUCCUACGGAGGGCAGCAGUGGGGAACCUUGGGCAAUGGGCGAAAGCCUGACGGAGCAACGCCGCGUGAGUGAGGAAGGUCUUCGGUUCGUAAAACUCUUUUAAUAGGGAGGAAGAGAGGUGUAAGGAAAUAUUCACGUCGUGACGGUACCUAAUCAGAAAGCCACGGCUAACUACGUG